GAUGAACGCUGGCGGCGUGCCUAAUACAUGCAAGUCGAACGCUGAAGGAGGAGCUUGCUCUUCUGGAUGAGUUGCGAACGGGUGAGUAACGCGUAGGUAACCUGCCUGGUAGCGGGGGAUAACUAUUGGAAACGAUAGCUAAUACCGCAUGACAACAGUUAUUGCAUGAUAACUGUUUAAAAGGGGCAACUGCUCCACUACCAGAUGGACCUGCGUUGUAUUAGCUAGUUGGUGAGGUAACGGCUCACCAAGGCGACGAUACAUAGCCGACCUGAGAGGGGGGUCGGCCACACUGGGACGGAGACACGGCCCAGACUCCUACGGGAGGCAGCAGUAGGGAAUCUUCGGCAAUGGACGGAAGUCUGACCGAGAAACGCCGCGUGAGUGAAGAAGGUUGUCGGAUCGUAAAGCUCUGUUGUCAGAGAAGAACGAGUGUGAGAGUGGAAAGUUCACACUGUGACGGUAUCUUACCAGAAAGGGACGGCUAAUUACGUG
rnacentral:rRNA from 1 species